CUACGGAGGCAUUCUGCAUGUAUAUAUCGAGGGAGAGGGUGAAAAACGUACCCAGCAAUGAGGCGAAAGCCAUCUUCAUAACGCUGCUGAAGCCGACCAGUCCGAGCCACCAAAUCAGACAUUUAUAUGCAAAUUAUAAACAAAUACCUCUCUGUAAAUGAAUAUGAAUCUUUAGUUUUCUCUCUUAGGUAUGUGUUUUGAUUAAUGAAAAAAAAAAAAAAAAAUUUCCCUUUUGCGGGUACUAAUAAUUAUUCAACUUGUGAAUCUCCAAAUCGCGCCCAAGUAAAUUCUCAUUAAUUCUGAAGGGCAGCGAAAAAUUCGGAGCACAAUUCGUGAAAACGAGUCUACGGUCAAUUUUGGUGAUUCUCAAUUUAUAGGAGUGGAUCCAUAAAAAAG
rnacentral:lncRNA from 1 species